CAGAGACUACGGGACCUAUCAGGAAGGAGUGGGGAAGAGGUUCUGGGGAAAUCAGAGGAUGUAGUGGCUGUAAAUCUGCUGUGCUUGUUUAGAAGGGAGUGUGGCUGGACAGAGCUGAAUGUGGUAUAGAACACCAAAAGUGGAUACUAUGUUGGAUUACAGUGCAUGACUUGAGCCUGAAUAUGCUCGGGAAAUUUAUGAAGGUUAUUGCUUGGUUAAUGGUUCCUUGGAGUCUCAGAAAAACCCAGUGAAUCCAGUCUCAAGUGAACCCAGUGAUGGACACAUGACAAAGAAGCCAGAAUUACCAUGUAGGAAGUAUGGACUCCUUGAAGCCACUGUACAGACCAAAAAGCCUCAGCUGUUACAGCCGCGAGCUGUUCAACUUUCAGCCCAGGCACUAGACAUGAGAGCUCAUUCUAAGGAUUAUGGAGAUAAACCAUGGAAAGGGGUUUCCAGGAGAUGCUGCAAUUGCUGGUCCAGGAAACAUGCUUUAAGAACUGCUGACCUAGGAUGUUGCGGUGCAUUUUCCCAUAAGUAACAAAUACCUAGCAAACAAUACCACUGAAAAUAUUGAAAAUACACUACAUUUACCUCGUUAAGUUCUUUCAUUAUGCUUUUCUCAAGUUUUAUCUCCAUUUCCAGUAAAAUAAUAGCCCCAUUGAAUCAGACUGAAAGUAUUAAUAUUUUAGUUAAUCUUCAGCGUAUUUUGUGCUAUAGCUUCCUAGCUCUGAUCAUGAGAUCAUUUUCAGUUGAGUCCAUGACUGAGAGUAUUUGUCCCAAUACUUACUGCUAUUUGAACAUGAUGAGUCUGUAGAUAGUACUUUAAUUCCUUUGUGUGUCUUUUUUUAAUUAAAAAGGAAAAUCAUAAAUACCCAGACUUUUUCAAAAAUUCAAAUAUUCUCCAAAAGAGGUGAUUUAAACCAGAAGAAAGGACAACGGCAGACCUCUGUUACUUAGUUUCCCACCCAUGUAUGAGGAGCACAUAUGUUGUGAAUUAAGUUAUUUUCAGAAUAUUUCACUUUUUCACACUUCAGGGAGGCCAUAUAUAUUUUAAUAAAUCUCCAGACAAACUAUGGUAAUUCUCUCUGAAGAUGAACUUACCACAGUAAUAGAAAUUAUAAAUAAAAAUUUUUUUGAUGAUGAAAGAAAAUGAUAUAUACCUGAGACUACACCAGGUGGAAUAGGAACACCUAGAAG
rnacentral:lncRNA from 10 species